GUCAAAGCAAAAAGCAAACAAAAAAGUUAGCAAGACGGCACGAGUUCAAUACGGGUUCAAUAGUGUGCAUGGCUGCGUCUGAUCCUCGUUGCUUACAUAUUUAUAACAAUGUCAACGGAAUCGAUUCUUCACGUGUGAAUAAACGUGGGCUUUGAAGCAGUUCCAUCUUACUUUAGCGCGCUCGCUGCUAACUAAGCGAGGCGGUUUUUGUUUUGUUUUGUUAGCAACAUCUAAUUACAGCAAAGCUCGAGUGUUAAGUGUUGUGUUGUGGAUAUCGCAUGGAAAAAUGUGUAAAGUAGAAAUGCUUAAAGCGUUGUUGAAUCAGCGACUAAGUGCGGCCGUUGACGAAAUAUUUGUAGUGUUUGAAAGAACGAUUGCAGAGUACGAGGAAGAACUUUCUCGAACAAAAGAGCAGAACGAGAGACAACGUCACCUACUGGACGCUGCUUUCAAGCAGCCGCAAAAUGGAGAAGCUGCAGGGACAAGGACGACUGGUUGCAAUCGAAGGAAAGAUGAAUGCGGCAAAGUACGGGGAUAUUCUGGACGAAAAUCUUCUCCAGAGUGCUCAGGAUCUCAGACUGGGCUGAAGGUUCAACUUCCAACAAGACAAUGACCAUAAGCACACAGCUAAACUAACGAAGGAGUGGCUUCAGAACAACUCCUUGACUGUUCUUGAAUGGCCCAGCCAGAGCCCUGACUUCAACCCAAUUGAGCAUCUCUGGAAAGACCUGAAAAUGGCUGCCCACUAACGUUCACCAUCCAACCUGACAGAACUGGAGAGGAUCUGCAAGGAGGAAUGGGACAGAAUCCCCAAAUCCAGACUUCAGUGAAGAUCCUCCUCCUAAACUGCAGAACUGGAGCACCGCGUUGGAGCAGCGGGACCCAGAAUGCCCCCACAUUAAGUACGAAGAUGAGGAGCCAGAGUCCUCCCAUGGCAAAGAGGAGGAGGAGGCUAAUGUAACCAAGUUGCCAUUCACUGGUGUCAUUGUGAAGAGUGAGGAUGAUGUAGAAGAAGACCACUGCAGAGGAUCCCAAGCAGACAGCCAAUUAGUUUCACAAUCAGAUUGUGACUAUGGAACGUCACACUCUCCUAACACUCAUGAUGAUGAACACUCUAAAGGGGAUAAGACAUGUCGCAUUGUUCUCAAGCACGUAACAUGUUCUCAAUGUGGGAAAGUCUUUAUCAACAGGUCCACCUUGGAAAGACACAUGAGAUGUCACACAGGAGAAAAACCUUUUAGCUGCUCACAUUGUGGGAAAUGUUUCACUCAAAAGGGAAGUUUGACAACACACACAAGAACACACACUGGAGAAAAACCGUUUUCCUGCUCAGUCUGCAACACACGUUUUCAUGUCCGCUCACUACUGGUUCAACACAUGAGAAAACACACUGGGGAGAAACCUUUUUCCUGCCUAGUUUGUGGUAAAAGUUUCUCUCAAAGGGGAAAUUUGAGAGCACAUACAAAAACACAUCCUGGAUAUACAUUUACCGCUCAAUCAACGACACAAAUUUUAGGAUUGGGUUCUGAUUCGGUACAUGAGUAGAUACACUGGUGAGAAACCUUCUAUUUCCUUGGUGUGUAAUAAUCCACAGGCUUCCUACGCAAAUAUGGAGCGUACUAUGUUGAUUUGAUACAUUUCCAGGUCUGGAAAAGUAUGGAAAAUUGAAACUAUUGUAUAGAAAAGCAUUUGUUUUCAGUACCAUUACCACUGAUCUGUAGAUACAAUUAAGAAUAUUGGGUUUGAGAGGGAAGACGUUUAUUGAUCUCACAAGGUAAGACCCUGUAAAGUGAAUUCAGAGAUUUGUUUCUAAAUACGUUAUACAUGUUUGAUGACUGAGGUAGUUCUCAAUUGUGGAGAUAGACUGUAAACUAUUGUUCACCAUUUCAGUGUUCCUUAUUAUUUAGGGCGUGACUAAAACGGCACCCAGUGACGCUCCUGGUCGUCACUCACUAAAAUCUCAAGCGCUGUGAUUUAAUUAGUCGUUAACCUGUGUAAUAGCGAGUUACGAAGGCUGGCCACACAAUUUUUUAUUUUAUUUUUUUAACUGAGAAGGUUGGUAAUUAGGGUCUGGGAAAAGUAUAGAAAUUUUAAAUUUCAAAUGUGUAAGAGUCCUGAAUACACAACAACCUUUACUGAUUGUAGCCAUCUGUUCUUAAUUGUGGUGAAGUAACCCAGGAUACAUUCAUCAACGCACACAUUUCCAAGUGGCUAUCUGCCCUGUGAUGUCGUGUAAAACAAUUUCGUCAGGCCAUAAUAGUAACGCUAAAAAAUGUAAAUAAUUUUAUUUAUUUUUUUCAGGAAUUUUUUUAUGCCAGUCUUGGUUUGAUAUGGGUAAAUUUAUUUUCAAAAAGCUAUUGAUGAUUUUAAACAUUUUGGCCAUAAUAGUAAUUCAUGGCAGUGCAGUGCAGUGCAAAUGUAAUCUCAACAACAUUUCCUAAACUAUUUACAAAAAUCAAAACGAUAAGUUUUAUUUAUGAAGAACAGCCUUAUUCAAUAAAAACACAAUCAGCAGUGAGCUUCAAGGCUAAACUUUCCCGGAUGGUGGUUAAUCUUUAUGGAAUCAAUACUUUGAACAACUGACAAAGUAAUUGCGUAACUUAAGCUAUGCACUGAUUAAAGAACACCCAUCCUUUAGAAUGUAUGACGUUUUGCAUCAAUCUUAUCCUGACUCAAAUUCUUCCACAGCAUUGUUGAGAGAACCCAAUGACAGAGCAAAUGGUGGUGGCCCACUGAAAUACGCUUCUUCCAUAACGGUAAAGUCAAAAAGUGCAGAACUGUAAAGACAUGAACCGUUUCAUAAAAAUCGUGUCACAUGAUUGACGUGUUGCCCUUCAAACUCUGCAGAUACAAGUGCAUAAAUGAUCCUCAUGACUCAUUAAUUCCAUUACACUUUUGUAUUUAUACGAUUGUCUGAACGGUAAAGACGUGCAUGUGAACUUUCAAAAAUUCAUAACGUAUCUCAGAAAUACCAGCGUUUAUUUUUGGUCUGCUAAUGUGUAAAUCAAUGCAAAAUGGCUACCUCAUCCUGGCACUUCAGAUCACAGAUCCCUCUGAGGUAUUGAAACAACAUUGAGGUUUUCUCCAGUGGCAUUAAUGGUAAAGACAGCUCGAGUGACAGGACCAUUUGUAAAAGAAAAGGAAACGCUAAGAUGCAUUUGUAGAGAGAGAGAUUAAAUGAAAAUGACCCAUAUAUAAUUUGAAGACAGAUGUCUGUACUUUCUAUUUUGGUACCUUUUUCAACCAGAUGACAACAUAGCAUUAAAAGAGAUUCCGGGGACUUAUUAGGCGGAACAAAUAGGGACAGUCACGACAUGGACGAAGUGAACAAAGGAGCGUUAACUCCGCAAGUUUCGGAGAAGUGAGAUAAUCCCCAUACUUGGUCUUAUUGAAGCAGGAAUGGAUGAUUUGCAUUGUAUCAAACCACCAGAUUCUGAUAUUGUGAAAUCGGGGGGAACGGAUACAGAUAAGGUGUAUUUUUUUUAAUUAUCAGCUAAGUUAGCAUUUUCUGUUACUCAGUUCACAAGUGGCAAGACCAUGUGAACAUGUUUUCAUAUCAUCAAAGUCGAGCUAACGCUGACUACCUAUCAAACAUGCGAUACCGAUUUCUUGUUCUUCUCAGUAUGAAUGCUAUGUAAGUUAAUUAAGGAGGAAAACUAUUUUGUGUGCAGUUUUCCCGCUGUGCCAAGUUAUCAAAAUGUGAAUUGUAUAUAAUUGAAAGUACAAAUUUCUACUAGCUCCUAAGUGAUGCAGACUUUGUAUCGCUCCGUUGUGGUAAAGAAGGAGCUAAGCCGAAAGGCGAAGCUCUCAAUUUACCGGUCGAUCUACGUUCCCACCCUCACCUAUGGUCACGAGCUGUGGGUCGUUGAGGUGGCUGGGGCAUCUGAUUCGGAUGCCUCCCGGACGCCUCCCUGGUGAGGUGUUCCGGGCACGUCCCACCGGGAGGAGACCCCGGGUACGACCCAGGACACGCUGGAGAGACAAUGUCUCACAGCUGGCCUCGGGAUCCCCCCGGAAGAGCUGGAUGAAGUGGCUGGGGAGAGGGAAGUCUAGGCGUCCCUGCUAAAGCUACUGCCCCUGCGACCAAACCUCGGAUAAGCGGAAGAAAAUGGAUGGAUGGAUGAAAUAAAAAAUGUAUUACUUGUGUACUCGCAUACAUUUCCGAGUCUGUACUUUUUUACUUAAGUACAGGAGUUAAAUCAGUUCUACUUUUACCAGUCCUUUUUUCCACAAGUAUCUGUAUUUUUACUUAAGUACAGCGUGUGAGUACUUUUGCCACAACUGCUUAACGUAACCAACACUCGUGCUCAGUCGUUCAUGUGGCGAAUGGAAAUCUGGACAUAAAUUCUUGGAUGCGCCCUUUUAAUGUACUGUAAAUCCACUUAGCGCUCUCAAUGCCAUGAGGAAUAGUAGGCCCCAAUUGCCGUUUCAGUAAGGGAGCAGGUGAUUGGCCCACUGUCCGACCUGGUAUUUCUAUUGGUCUCCCAUCCAACCGGGGCCAAUCCUGCUUAGCUUCCGAGAUCAGGCAGUAUGUGAGGAUCUGGUUGGUGUAAAUACGCUUACUUCCCGGUAACUUCCAGUGGGUUUUCCUCUUGUCCCCAUUGUCAUUUGCAUAUCACUGCCUGUGUGUGUUGUGGAACAUACUGCAGCUUUCAUCAUUCUGUCAAUACGCGCAAACUGUUGAAAUGCUGUAAAUUGACCCUAACUCAUUCUUUGCUCUUGUCUUUUGCUGUCAAUGUUCUCCAUUCAUAUUGAUGGUAUUCGACUAAAGUAAACAAGACACUGUCAACCUCAUUGAAAUUAUAAACCAUCACAACCUAUCUGUGCAAUCACCACAUACAAUGCCAUAUAUUUGUGUUGUUCUAGAAUAAUAUAUGACGUAAAUGCUGAUUCGCACAUAAAAAUAUCCAAUGAAUCUAACCCCCAACCACACCUACCCACACACACACACACACACAUUUUGGUUCCAAAACAUUAUUGUACUCAAUAGAAAUAUAUAGCAAUAUGAAAGUGUUACCUUGCUAUGAAUACUUGCAUACACUGAUUGGAACUUGCUGCUUAUUUAUUUAAAAAGAAAAAGAAAAGGACAAACAAGUUUUCUGUUCAUGACAGACACAUUGAAGACGACGAAGGAAUAUGUUGUAUAUGUCC